AAGUGCUGAAAGCAUCUAAGCACGAAACUUGCCCCGAGAUGAGUUCUCCCUGACUCCUUGAGAGUCCUGAAGGAACGUUGAAGACGACGACGUUGAUAGGCCGGGUGUGUAAGCGCAGCGAUGCGUUGAGCUAACCGGUACUAAUGAACCGUGAGGCUUAACCUUACAACGCCGAAG
rnacentral:rRNA from 2 species